UCUCAGUGAUGCAGCAUGGGCUCCCAUGCGCUGUUAUGGGAUAGGAGUGACAAAAUUCCUCCUUUAUCCUCCCUUAUUGACCAGGGGUCUAAAGUUCAAGGUGUCCUUGGGCCCUGCUACGUGUUGCUCCCACCACUAUGAAGCUCAGGGCAAGACAGCCCCUGUGGUGCUGGGUACCUGGUUGUCUUCUUCUCAAGCACUAGUGCAGAGCCACAGCCUCUUUUGCCACACUCUGGGUGUUGUAGGUCCCCUGUAAGCACCUUUCCAACAAAAAGGGGAUUAUCUAUAGCUUGUUAGAGUCCUUGCAGGGAGGGAGAAUAAGGCUCUUUGCUCUGAAACGUUCUCUUCCCUGGGAUUACAAGAUAAUGCAUAUGAAAUGACAUUAGCUCAGCCAGGUUUAUGGAUUAUUUGAAAAUCAAAUUCUUUUAAUCUCAUCCACCAUCUGGCACCAACGUAACAGCCAGCAGCCAGCUCACUGCUGCUUCCACCCCGACUGCGCUGGAGCAACUGAAGCAUCAGAGACGAUGAGAGGACACCGGCAUCCCUGGCCACCGCUGCACAUCCUGGCACCAGCACUUUAUGAUUCCCAAGACAGCAAGGAGGUAACAUGUCUGAGAGGGUCUCCCUGGUGUGCACUGGGGAUGGACAGGCAGGCUGGGAGCAUCUCACUGCCUAUGCCUGUGUGACCAUGAGUCGCAAAUCCAGCAGCCAGAAGGGUCCCCAGGUCUUGGAUAAAGGUGAAGAUCCAGGCAGGGGACUUGCCAAUCUCACCAACAUGACUUGCAGUGAUCUCCUGGCUGGACAGGGAGGGACAAACGCACAGGAGCUCCUUGCAGGAUGCUGAUGCAGAGCAUUUUCCAAGGAGGUUGUGUUUUCCUUUGAACAUUAAGGGUGCUGCCAGGGUGCAUCUGGGCUCCAUGAUGAGUAGUACCAGGGAGCCAGUGACAAGUCAUGUUGUUUGCAGAUGCUGAUGUGAGCAGGUACAGUGUCUCCGAGGGGCAGGGCAGAAGAGCAUGUCCGGGACACAGCAUAUGGAGCCUGUGAGCAGGAUCACCGUCAGCAGCACCACAGAGGGCAGCCUGGCUCACAGGUCAGGGAGCAGAGAGGGACCACUGUAGGAAGCUGGAGCCACCAGCACUAGGGACAUAAGGCUGUAGCUGUUCUGCCUGUCAGCUCUAUCCCAGUGGCUCUUCUUGGCUGGAGUCACAAAUUGCACCAUUUUUGCUGAGCUCUAGGUAUGGAGAGCAGCUGUUCCAGGCAGGGGGAUGCUGAGGAGGGAGGACUGGGUUUGUUCCUUGGAGCAGAUUGGGAUGCUAGAGGUGAGGAUGUGGCACAUCUGCCCGCAGGUAAGGAAUUGCAGAUGGAGCAAGGUGGGGAGCUGAUGCUCCAUGAUUUGAUGUACCUGAAGACAGUCACAUGCAAGAGGAAAAGAAAACAAGAAGAGAGAUGAAUAGCUUUAAAGCAAAGAAAGUGUCAUUUUUGAGGUAAUUAGUUACUAAUUAUACACACAGAAUUGUCUGUCAUUAACAUUACUUGGGGUUUCAAUACGUUGUGGUUUUAAUUAAACAAAUCCUUAGAUAUUUUUUCUCCUUCUUUGUAGAAAAAAAUCAUUUUCUUUUAUUGGUGCCAAAGAAUAAAUUGUGGAAUUAGUGACUAUUACUUUGUCGCUUAUGGAAAGGUUAUUUCCAGGUUUUUUGUAUGCAGUAGCUAGAGAAUGGUUAUGAAAGAACCAGUAAUGAUUGUGAAAGAACCAUUUGAAGGCACUGACACAGGGUGCUCAGAGAAGCUGUGGCUGCCCCAUCCCUUGCAGUGUUCAAGGCCAGGCUGGACACAGGGGCUUGGAGCAACCUGCUCUAGUGGAAGGUGUCCCUGCCUGGGGCAGGGGCUGGAGCUGGAUGAGCUUUAAGGCCCCUUCCAACCCAAACCAUUCUGUGAUCCUGUGAAAUGUUUUUUGAUGCCAAGAGUCCCUGGAAGUUGCUGUCUGUGGCUGGGUCUGCUGGUUGAGGUGGGAAUUUGGCAGUGCUGGGACACAACUAGCAAGAAGGAGGCAAAAAAACUCUGCCAGGGCUGUCUGGAGGAGGCUGUCAAACACCAGUGGGUAUCCUCUUGCUGACUUGCAUGCCUGUGAGUAAAUGUGCUUCAUUUUGAUGCAGAAAUGCCCGGCAGAAGGCAGCUUUUGACCCUCCAGAAAGGAAGCAGUAGCAAAGCUGUGGCUGCUUCCAUGUGCUCCCCCUGGCACAGGGAAAUGCAAUAAGAAGAGCCCAUGUGUUUCUAACUAAAUGGCAGCCUGUGCUUCGUAAACAACCCGGGUCCAGUUUGGAUGGGAUCCCUGCAUUGAUGUUUCUGGAAAUCAAAUAACAGUCAAGCUAAAGGCAACUUGUUCCUGGAGGUGCCCAGAGCUCUUUGCUGCCAGAGUCAAUGGGAACAAGAGCCCUUGGAGCAUGUGGAUCUGCAGGCAGGCUGUGUGACAGUUCCUGUGCCGACUCCUUUCCCUUCUCUCUGUCAGUUGACUGUCACUGUAUAGGACAGCGUUCCAGGAAUGAUCCCAGCUCCACCUUUGGGCUCCCUUUAGCACUGCUGCUCUCCUGCCUCUUCAUUUCCCUUUGGGGUGAUAUCAGGAAGGAAAUGUGGCUUUCCCUGCCUCUGUGAUCCACAAAUGCAUUCACCAGGCACAUCCCACCUCCACACAGGGAUGCAGAGCAUUCCUUCUAUGGCAGGUAGAAUGGGCAAACUGUUGCUGGAUGUUCUGGUAACCUUGGGCAGCUUCUGUUUUGCCCCCUCUUCUUGCUGCAGGUUCCUUCCCCUCCCAUUCUCUGAUCUCCUCCAACACCACUUGCAUUGCUGACGCUGGAUGCUUUGGACUUGAACUGGACCAGUUCUCUAUUUAUCCUGGCCUGGUGCUUUUAAUGCUUAAUCCCUUUUGAGUGUGAGAUUGGAAUAUUUGAAAAUGGUGGCUACUUUUUUCCCCCCUCUCCAUCGAAGUGGUUUUUUUCUUUUUCUAACUGAUUUUUUUUUUUUUUUUAUCCAUGUUUAAGAUUUUUGGGCCAUAAUUUCUUUUUGUGCUGUAAGUGUUCUGACAAACCUGACCCUCUGUUGCAAAGCUGUUCUGCACCAAUGAACCAGGCAGGUCAAGCAAUCUUCCUCUCUGCUUCCUUCCCCUGAAGUAAAAAAAUGACUCUACAACCACAAACCUGGUGCAUAAAACCUGAUGCACGCAAGAGACCCUACAAUAACAUACCCAACCUGCACAUAUCCCGCUGCCGAUGAGCAUUGACAUGGUUUCAAAUGUACUGAUGCUCCUGUGGAUGUGUCCUUUCGGAGGGCAUCAGCGUCAGGAGUCCUUUAGCUGUGAAACCAGGAGGAUGACUCAUGAACCACACAGACGCAAGCAGUGUCAGUGCCUCGAUGGUCCAUCAGGUUUCUGACCUGCGUCAGCAAAACUGUGGGUGAAGAAGGAAAUGGGAAUGACAACCCAACUUGGGUGUGUGUGUGGGGGGGAGAGGGCUGUGAUAUGGAAAAUAAAGCUCCCUCUGAGCCUGUGCCCCCACAAUUUACCACAUGUAGAGGGGAGACCCAGCUCCAUGCACCUUCAGGCAUGGACUGUUACUGUCAUUUACAGGUAUUGGAGAUGCUGGCUCUUGAUGUGCUCUCCAGUGCUCUCCAACUUUCUCCUCUGCCAAUAGCCUGAGAGCAUCUUCCCUGCCUCUCCCUGCAGAGGCUUUUGGGGGGCUGAUUCUUGUGGGUUGGCACCUCUGUCCUCCUGAGUUUGCCAUGAAUGUUGCUUCUGUUGGUGCAAGAAACCCUCCUUAGGUCAAAGCCAGAAGUGCAUUAACAGUCCUGAAGCAGAGAAAGCCAUUCUCACCAUGGGGGGCUGCCCCAUGUGUGCUGUGACACCUCUGUGAGCUGCCCAUAGCUGCAGGGACAGGAGAUACUGAGAUGCCAAGAGGCAACCUCAGCUAUCAGCUCUACCAGUCCCCUGCAGGCACCUCUGCUUCCAGUCCAGCCCAGCCCACCCUACCCUCUUUGGCAAGCAAAGCAGUCAGCAUCAGCAGCCUCAGCUCCCACCUUGGUACCUGCAUCCUUCAAGCCUCCCUCCAUCCCUUACUCCAUCACCCCCCA